GAUGAACGCUGGCGGCGUGCCUAAUACAUGCAAGUCGAGCGAACGGACGAGAAGCUUGCUUCUCUGAUGUUAGCGGCGGACGGGUGAGUAACACGUGGAUAACCUACCUAUAAGACUGGGAUAACUUCGGGAAACCGGAGCUAAUACCGGAUAAUAUUUUGAACCGCAUGGUUCAAAAGUGAAAGACGGUCUUGCUGUCACUUAUAGAUGGAUCCGCGCUGCAUUAGCUAGUUGGUAAGGUAACGGCUUACCAAGGCAACGAUGCAUAGCCGACCUGAGAGGGUGAUCGGCCACACUGGAACUGAGACACGGUCCAGACUCCUACGGGAGGCAGCAGUAGGGAAUCUUCCGCAAUGGGCGAAAGCCUGACGGAGCAACGCCGCGUGAGUGAUGAAGGUCUUCGGAUCGUAAAACUCUGUUAUUAGGGAAGAACAUAUGUGUAAGUAACUGUGCACAUCUUGACGGUACCUAAUCAGAAAGCCACGGCUAACUACGUGCCAGCAGCCGCGGUAAUACGUAGGUGGCAAGCGUUAUCCGGAAUUAUUGGGCGUAAAGCGCGCGUAGGCGGUUUUUUAAGUCUGAUGUGAAAGCCCACGGCUCAACCGUGGAGGGUCAUUGGAAACUGGAAAACUUGAGUGCAGAAGAGGAAAGUGGAAUUCCAUGUGUAGCGGUGAAAUGCGCAGAGAUAUGGAGGAACACCAGUGGCGAAGGCGACUUUCUGGUCUGUAACUGACGCUGAUGUGCGAAAGCGUGGGGAUCAAACAGGAUUAGAUACCCUGGUAGUCCACGCCGUAAACGAUGAGUGCUAAGUGUUAGGGGGUUUCCGCCCCUUAGUGCUGCAGCUAACGCAUUAAGCACUCCGCCUGGGGAGUACGACCGCAAGGUUGAAACUCAAAGGAAUUGACGGGGACCCGCACAAGCGGUGGAGCAUGUGGUUUAAUUCGAAGCAACGCGAAGAACCUUACCAAAUCUUGACAUCCUUUGACAACUCUAGAGAUAGAGCUUUCCCCUUCGGGGGACAAAGUGACAGGUGGUGCAUGGUUGUCGUCAGCUCGUGUCGUGAGAUGUUGGGUUAAGUCCCGCAACGAGCGCAACCCUUAAGCUUAGUUGCCAUCAUUAAGUUGGGCACUCUAAGUUGACUGCCGGUGACAAUCCGGAGGAAGGUGGGGAUGACGUCAAAUCAUCAUGCCCCUUAUGAUUUGGGCUACACACGUGCUACAAUGGACAAUACAAAGGGCAGCGAAACCGCGAGGUCAAGCAAAUCCCAUAAAGUUGUUCUCAGUUCGGAUUGUAGUCUGCAACUCGACUACAUGAAGCUGGAAUCGCUAGUAAUCGUAGAUCAGCAUGCUACGGUGAAUACGUUCCCGGGUCU
rnacentral:rRNA from 1 species